rnacentral:rRNA from 1 species
UACGAAGGGGGCUAGCGUUGCUCGGAAUCACUGGGCGUAAAGGGUGCGUAGGCGGGUCUUUAAGUCAGGGGUGAAAUCCUGGAGCUCAACUCCAGAACUGCCUUUGAUACUGAAGAUCUUGAGUUCGGGAGAGGUGAGUGGAACUGCGAGUGUAGAGGUGAAAUUCGUAGAUAUUCGCAAGAACACCAGUGGCGAAGGCGGCUCACUGGCCCGAUACUGACGCUGAGGCACGAAAGCGUGGGGGAGACAA